CUACGGGAGGCAGCAGUGGGGAAUAUUGGACAAUGGGCGAAAGCCUGAUCCAGCCAUGCCGCGUGUGUGAAGAAGGUCUUCGGAUUGUAAAGCACUUUAAGUUGGGAGGAAGGGCAUUAACCUAAUACGUUAGUGUUUUGACGUUACCGACAGAAUAAGCACCGGCUAACUCUGUGCCAGCAGCCGCGGUAAUACAGAGGGUGCAAGCGUUAAUCGGAAUUACUGGGCGUAAAGCGCGCGUAGGUGGUUUGUUAAGUUGAAUGUGAAAUCCCCGGGCUCAACCUGGGAACUGCAUCCAAAACUGGCAAGCUAGAGUAUGGUAGAGGGUAGUGGAAUUUCCUGUGUAGCGGUGAAAUGCGUAGAUAUAGGAAGGAACACCAGUGGCGAAGGCGACUACCUGGACUGAUACUGACACUGAGGUGCGAAAGCGUGGGGAGCAAACAGGAUUAGAUACCCCGGU
rnacentral:rRNA from 1 species